CACCAAGCCUUCGAUGGAUAGGGGUUCUGAGAGGAAGGUCCCCCACAUUGGAACUGAGACACGGUCCAAACUCCUACGGGAGGCAGCAGUGAGGAAUAUUGGUCAAUGGGCGCUAGCCUGAACCAGCCAAGUAGCGUGAAGGAUGAAGGCUCUAUGGGUCGUAAACUUCUUUUAUAUAAGAAUAAAGUGCAGUAUGUAUACUGUUUUGUAUGUAUUAUAUGAAUAAGGAUCGGCUAACUCCGUGCCAGCAGCCGCGGUAAUACGGAGGAUCCGAGCGUUAUCCGGAUUUAUUGGGUUUAAAGGGAGCGUAGGUGGACUGGUAAGUCAGUUGUGAAAGUUUGCGGCUCAACCGUAAAAUUGCAGUUGAUACUGUCAGUCUUGAGUACAGUAGAGGUGGGCGGAAUUCGUGGUGUAGCGGUGAAAUGCUUAGAUAUCACGAAGAACUCCGAUUGCGAAGGCAGCUCACUGGACUGCAACUGACACUGAUGCUCGAAAGUGUGGGUAUCAAACAGGAUUAGAUACCCUGGUAGUCCACACAGUAAACGAUGAAUACUCGCUGUUUGCGAUAUACAGUAAGCGGCCAAGCGAAAGCAUUAAGUAUUCCACCUGGGGAGUACGCCGGCAACGGUGAAACUCAAAGGAAUUGACGGGGGCCCGCACAAGCGGAGGAACAUGUGGUUUAAUUCGAUGAUACGCGAGGAACCUUACCCGGGCUUAAAUUGCAGUGGAAUGAUGUGGAAACAUGUCAGUGAGCAAUCACCGCUGUGAAGGUGCUGCAUGGUUGUCGUCAGCUCGUGCCGUGAGGUGUCGGCUUAAGUGCCAUAACGAGCGCAACCCUUAUCUUCAGUUACUAACAGGUCAUGCUGAGGACUCUGGAGAGACUGCCGUCGUAAGAUGUGAGGAAGGUGGGGAUGACGUCAAAUCAGCACGGCCCUUACGUCCGGGGCUACACACGUGUUACAAUGGGGGGUACAGAAGGCAGCUAGCGGGUGACCGUAUGCUAAUCCCAAAAGCCUCUCUCAGUUCGGAUCGAAGUCUGCAACCCGACUUCGUGAAGCUGGAUUCGCUAGUAAUCGCGCAUCAGCCACGGCGCGGUGAAUACGUUCCCGGGCCUUGUACACACCGCCCGUCAAGCCAUGGGAGCCGGGGGUACCUGAAGUACGUAACCGCAAGGAUCGUCCUAGGGUAAAACUGGUGACUGGGGCUAAGUCGUAACAAGGUAGCCGUACCGGAAGGUGCGGCUGGAACACCUCCUUU
rnacentral:rRNA from 1 species